UCAGUCUGUGUUUUUUCUGUCGUUCUUUCCCUCGGGGGCGCGCGCCUGGGCCGGACGUGUCUUCGGAGUGUCCAGCAACAAUCUGUGCAUUCAUACAUGAGUUGUCGCUGGACAUUCCUAAUUAAUUAAGUUUACUCCAAACAUCACCCCAACUGCAGCGCUAUCAUUAAAAAGGUUACUCUUAACCUUACAAGCAGUACCCAACAUCCGCCUGGAACACAGAAGUUCCUCCAGCAGCCAGUAGAGACGCAGUGAAGAAAUACUCAUCCUCGAGUAACCAACGCACUCUACUGGGAAACGAUCCGGCGACCUACUGCACAUUUAUUGUUAGUUUUGAAUCGGCCCAAAAUACUGCUGACAUUAGUUAUUUUUAUUUAAUACCAUCUUCAUUUCGUGUUGUCUUUGUGUUUAAGUGUCAACAGUAUUUGUGUACUCUACCCAUGUAUUAGUUUAUCCCCGGACCGCAGGGACAGUCUGAUUGUAACACUAGUCCUGGGAGCUGGCCUAAAGGAGUCAGAUCUACUAGAUGUGAAUGUAAUGGCUUUGAAGCCAACACUAACCACUGAGUCACACUUUAGCCGCAACAAAGCUUCUUCUUGUUAUAUUACAGUAACGCUUGUUCUAUUGUAGUUUAUGAUGACAGUCACGAACGCAUGCAACACAACGAGGUUGUAUGUAAUAGUAUUAUAAGACCAGUUAUAUUCCAAUCGACAAAAUAUCAAUGGUGUAAUAUGUAAAUCAAUAUUUUAACGUGAUGAAAUAACUAACUGUAAGGCAAGUAGAAGUAGUGAAUUAAUGUAAUAAUGGUAUUAUCAAUGUAUAAGAACAUAAUCAUUUCAAGUAAAUCUAUCUGUGUAGUAUUAAUAUUAUUAAUGUUUGAAUGAAUACUAAACAUAUGAGAUGUUCCGACAAAGCACUAGAUUUGGCUUCUUAAUAUACAUACAUGUAUAACUGCGUAACAACAAUGUAAUCACUUAGAAUAAUAAAUAAUUAAGGCAAA